CUGCCCUUGGGCAGGGCUGGUUGAGGAAGUGUGGUGAUUUUCUUGCAGCAGCAAUGGCUUCCCACCUCUUUCUCCACAGACAGGAGAAGAUAUUGGCUUGGCAAAGAAGAGAGAAGAUCAGAAAGCGAGGAAGAGGUGGAGACCGGGGAAGCAGGAGAGAAGAGUGGAAAUUGACUUCAUGCCUGGAAUUCUGCAAGAGAUUGCCUGGUUUUAGCUAUCAUGCAAUGCUGCUUAUCUCUUCCAUGUAUGAGUAUUUAACAAGGAGGAAGACUCCAGAGGAAAAAAAAAUCACUGUCCUUCUGUAAGGAUGCUUCUACUACAGGGGAGGCCCCUUUCUUGCUGAACUCUUUGGUGAGCUUGCCUAUGAACAGGUGACCUAGAGGGCAAAGGCUGAAUGCUGAC
rnacentral:lncRNA from 1 species